rnacentral:rRNA from 1 species
AUUGAACGCUGGCGGCAGGCCUAACACAUGCAAGUCGAACGAGUGGCGGACGGGUGAAUAAUGUCUGGAAACCUGCCUGAUGGAGGGGGAUAACUCCUGGAAACGGUAGCUAAUACCGCAUACCAUUCGCUGUGCCCAGAUGGGACUAGCUAGUUGGUGGGGUAACGGCUCACCAAGGCGACGAGCCCUAGCUGAUCUGCGAGGUUGACCGGCCACACUGGAACUGAGACACGGUCCAGACUCCUACGGGAGGCAGCAGUGGGGAAUAUUGCCCAAUGGGCGCAAGCCUGAUGCAGCCAUGCCGCGUGUAUGAAGAAGGCCUUCGGGUUGUAAAGUACUUUCAGCGGGGAGGCGUUACCCACAGAAGAAGCACCGGCUAACUCCGUGCCAGCAGCCGCGGUAAUUC